UACGGGGGGGGCAAGCGUUGUUCGGAUUUACUGGGCGUAAAGGGCGCGUAGGCGGCAAUUCAAGUCAUCUGUGAAAUCUCCGGGCUUAACUCGGAACGGUCAGAUGAUACUGCUUUGCUAGAGUGCGGAAGGGGCAAUCGGAAUUCUUGGUGUAGCGGUGAAAUGCGUAGAUAUCAAGAGGAACACCUGAGGUGAAGACGGGUUGCUGGGCCGACACUGACGCUGAGGCGCGAAAGCCAGGGGAGCAAACGGG
rnacentral:rRNA from 1 species